UUUAAGUUAUUAACGGCGAAACUGCGAAUGGCUCAUUAAAACAGUUAUAGUAUAUUUGAUAAUGUUUUUUACAUGGAUAACCGUGGGAAACUAGAGCUAAUACAUGCAUCAAGACCUUCGUGGUCGACUUUAUUAGCUACCAUCAAACCUUUACUGGUUUCGAAGAAUCAUAAUAACUGAUCGGAGCGCGGGUUGCCCGCGCUAAAUCUUUCUAGUUUCUGCCCUAUCAGCUUUCGAUGGUAGUGUAUUGGACUACCAUGGCUAUCACGGGUAACGGAGAAUUGGGGUUCGAUUCCGGAGAAGGAGCCUGAGAAACGGCUACUACAUCUACGGGAGGCAGCAGGCGCGUAAAUUACCCAAUCCUGACUAAGGGAGGUAGUCACAAGAAAUAGUAUACCAGAGACUUACAUCUCUAGUUUUGCAAUGGAUAUAAUUUAAAACCUUAUUUGAAAUCUAUUGGAGGGCAAGUCUGGUGCCAGCAGCCGCGGUAAUUCCAGCUCCAAUAGCGUAUCUUAAUGUUGUUGCAGUUAAAAAGCUCGUAGUCGAAUUUCUGUCCGGGAAACACCGAACUUACCGUGUGUAUUCCUAGGUCAUCCGCCUAUGAUAGUGUAAGGAGAUUAAUUUCUACUGCAUUGGAGUAGGCACUUUACUUUGAAGAAAUUAGGGUGUUUCAGGCAGGCCAUCGCUUGAAUACACCAGCAUGGAAUAAUGGAAUAGGACUCGUUCUGGUUAUUGGUGAAUUAGAAAGAGUAAUGAUU
rnacentral:rRNA from 1 species